GAGUUUGAUUCUGGCUCAGAACAAACGCUGGCGGCGUGCCUAAUACAUGCAAGUCGAACGAGGAAAUCCCUUCGGGGAGAGUAUGAGUGGCGAACGGGUGAGUAACACGUAGAUAAUCAUCCUCAAGGUGGGGAACAACGAUUCGAAAGAGUCGCUAAUACCGCAUAAGACCACAGUUGCUGCGGCAACAGGGGUUAAAGAUUUAUCGCCUUGAGACGAGUCUGCGUCCGAUUAGCUAGUUGGUGAGGUAAUGGCUCACCAAGGCGAUGAUCGGUAACUGGUCUGAAAGGAUGACCAGUCACACUGGAACUGCGACACGGUCCAGACUCCUACGGGAGGCAGCAGUAGGGAAUAUUGCUCAAUGGGGGAAACCCUGAAGCAGCGACGCCGCGUGAGUGAC
rnacentral:rRNA from 1 species